UACGAAGGGAGCUAGCGUUGUUCGGAAUUACUGGGCGUAAAGGGCGCGUAGGCGGUUUUGUAAGUCAGAUGUGAAAGCCCCGGGCUUAACCUGGGAACUGCAUUUGAGACUGCAAGACUAGAGAUCGAGAGAGGAAAGUGGAAUUACGAGUGUAGAAGUGAAAUUCGUAGAUAUUCGUAGGAACACCGGUGGCGAAGGCGACUUUCUGGCUCGACCCUGACGCUAAAGCGCGAAAGCGUGGGGAGCAAACAGG
rnacentral:rRNA from 1 species